AGCGUACACGGUGGAUGCCCUGGCAGUCAGAGGCGAUGAAGGACGUGCUAAUCUGCGAUAAGCGUCGGUAAGGUGAUAUGAACCGUUAUAACCGGCGAUUUCCGAAUGGGGAAACCCAGUGUGUUUCGACACACUAUCAUUAACUGAAUCCAUAGGUUAAUGAGGCGAACCGGGGGAACUGAAACAUCUAAGUACCCCGAGGAAAAGAAAUCAACCGAGAUUCCCCCAGUAGCGGCGAGCGAACGGGGAGCAGCCCAGAGCCUGAAUCAGUGUGUGUGUUAGUGGAAGCGUCUGGAAAGGCGCGCGAUACAGGGUGACAGCCCCGUACACAAAAAUGCACAUGCUGUGAGCUCGAUGAGUAGGGCGGGACACGUGGUAUCCUGUCUGAAUAUGGGGGGACCAUCCUCCAAGGCUAAAUACUCCUGACUGACCGAUAGUGAACCAGUACCGUGAGGGAAAGGCGAAAAGAACCCCGGCGAGGGGAGUGAAAAAGAACCUGAAACCGUGUACGUACAAGCAGUGGGAGCACAGAGCAAUCUGUGUGACUGCGUACCUUUUGUAUAAUGGGUCAGCGACUUAUAUUCUGUAGCAAGGUUAACCGAAUAGGGGAGCCGAAGGGAAACCGAGUCUUAACUGGGCGUUAAGUUGCAGGGUAUAGACCCGAAACCCGGUGAUCUAGCCAUGGGCAGGUUGAAGGUUGGGUAACACUAACUGGAGGACCGAACCGACUAAUGUUGAAAAAUUAGCGGAUGACUUGUGGCUGGGGGUGAAAGGCCAAUCAAACCGGGAGAUAGCUGGUUCUCCCCGAAAGCUAUUUAGGUAGCGCCUCGUGAAUUCAUCUCCGGGGGUAGAGCACUGUUUCGGCAAGGGGGUCAUCCCGACUUACCAACCCGAUGCAAACUGCGAAUACCGGAGAAUGUUAUCACGGGAGACACACGGCGGGUGCUAACGUCCGUCGUGAAGAGGGAAACAACCCAGACCGCCAGCUAAGGUCCCAAAGUCAUGGUUAAGUGGGAAACGAUGUGGGAAGGCCCAGACAGCCAGGAUGUUGGCUUAGAAGCAGCCAUCAUUUAAAGAAAGCGUAAUAGCUCACUGGUCGAGUCGGCCUGCGCGGAAGAUGUAACGGGGCUAAACCAUGCACCGAAGCUGCGGCAGCGACGCUUAUGCGUUGUUGGGUAGGGGAGCGUUCUGUAAGCCUGCGAAGGUGUGCUGUGAGGCAUGCUGGAGGUAUCAGAAGUGCGAAUGCUGACAUAAGUAACGAUAAAGCGGGUGAAAAGCCCGCUCGCCGGAAGACCAAGGGUUCCUGUCCAACGUUAAUCGGGGCAGGGUGAGUCGACCCCUAAGGCGAGGCCGAAAGGCGUAGUCGAUGGGAAACAGGUUAAUAUUCCUGUACUUGGUGUUACUGCGAAGGGGGGACGGAGAAGGCUAUGUUGGCCGGGCGACGGUUGUCCCGGUUUAAGCGUGUAGGCUGGUUUUCCAGGCAAAUCCGGAAAAUCAAGGCUGAGGCGUGAUGACGAGGCACUACGGUGCUGAAGCAACAAAUGCCCUGCUUCCAGGAAAAGCCUCUAAGCAUCAGGUAACAUCAAAUCGUACCCCAAACCGACACAGGUGGUCAGGUAGAGAAUACCAAGGCGCUUGAGAGAACUCGGGUGAAGGAACUAGGCAAAAUGGUGCCGUAACUUCGGGAGAAGGCACGCUGAUAUGUAGGUGAGGUCCCUCGCGGAUGGAGCUGAAAUCAGUCGAAGAUACCAGCUGGCUGCAACUGUUUAUUAAAAACACAGCACUGUGCAAACACGAAAGUGGACGUAUACGGUGUGACGCCUGCCCGGUGCCGGAAGGUUAAUUGAUGGGGUUAGCGGUAACGCGAAGCUCUUGAUCGAAGCCCCGGUAAACGGCGGCCGUAACUAUAACGGUCCUAAGGUAGCGAAAUUCCUUGUCGGGUAAGUUCCGACCUGCACGAAUGGCGUAAUGAUGGCCAGGCUGUCUCCACCCGAGACUCAGUGAAAUUGAACUCGCUGUGAAGAUGCAGUGUACCCGCGGCAAGACGGAAAGACCCCGUGAACCUUUACUAUAGCUUGACACUGAACAUUGAGCCUUGAUGUGUAGGAUAGGUGGGAGGCUUAGAAGUGUGGACGCCAGUCUGCAUGGAGCCGACCUUGAAAUACCACCCUUUAAUGUUUGAUGUUCUAACGUUGACCCGUAAUCCGGGUUGCGGACAGUGUCUGGUGGGUAGUUUGACUGGGGCGGUCUCCUCCUAAAGAGUAACGGAGGAGCACGAAGGUUGGCUAAUCCUGGUCGGACAUCAGGAGGUUAGUGCAAUGGCAUAAGCCAGCUUGACUGCGAGCGUGACGGCGCGAGCAGGUGCGAAAGCAGGUCAUAGUGAUCCGGUGGUUCUGAAUGGAAGGGCCAUCGCUCAACGGAUAAAAGGUACUCCGGGGAUAACAGGCUGAUACCGCCCAAGAGUUCAUAUCGACGGCGGUGUUUGGCACCUCGAUGUCGGCUCAUCACAUCCUGGGGCUGAAGUAGGUCCCAAGGGUAUGGCUGUUCGCCAUUUAAAGUGGUACGCGAGCUGGGUUUAGAACGUCGUGAGACAGUUCGGUCCCUAUCUGCCGUGGGCGCUGGAGAACUGAGGGGGGCUGCUCCUAGUACGAGAGGACCGGAGUGGACGCAUCACUGGUGUUCGGGUUGUCAUGCCAAUGGCACUGCCCGGUAGCUAAAUGCGGAAGAGAUAAGUGCUGAAAGCAUCUAAGCACGAAACUUGCCCCGAGAUGAGUUCUCCCUGACUCCUUGA
rnacentral:rRNA from 2 species